rnacentral:tRNA from 1 species
AGUGAAAUAGCUCAGUUGGUCAGAGCGCCGCUCUCAUAAAGCGGAGGUCGAGAGUUCAAAUCUCUCUUUCACUACCA